UACAGAGGUGGCAAGCGUUGUUCGGAAUUACUGGGCGUAAAGAGCGCGCAGGCGGUCGUUCAAGUCGAGUGUGAAAGCCCCCGGCUCAACUGGGGAGGGUCACUCGAUACUGAUCGACUUGAAGGCAGGAGAGGGUAGUGGAAUUCCCGGUGUAGUGGUGAAAUGCGUAGAUAUCGGGAGGAACACCAGUGGCGAAGGCGGCUUUCUGGUCUGCUCUUGACGCUGAGGCGCGAAAGCUAGGGUAGCAAACGGG
rnacentral:rRNA from 1 species